GACGAACGCUGGCGGCGUGCCUAACACAUGCAAGUCGAGCGGAGUCAGUAAGAGGAAGUUUUCGGAUGGAAUCUUAUUGAUUUAGCGGCGGACGGGUGAGUAACGCGUGAGCGAUCAACCUUGCACAGGGGGAUAACGGACCGAAAGGUUCACUAAUACCGCAUGAGACCACGGUGUUGCAUGACACAGGGGUCAAAGGAGCAAUCCGGUGCAAGACGGGCUCGCGUCCGAUUAGGUAGUUGGAGGGGUAACGGCCCACCAAGCCUAUGAUCGGUAGCCGACCUGAGAGGGUGAUCGGCCACAUUGGAACUGAGAUACGGUCCAAACUCCUACGGGAGGCAGCAGUGGGGAAUAUUGGGCAAUGGGGGAAACCCUGACCCAGCAACGCCGCGUGAAGGAAGAAGGUUUUCGGAUUGUAAAGUUCUGUGAUUGGGGAAGAAUGGUAUUCUUAGGGAAUGAGGAGUACAUGACGGUACCCGAUUAGAAAGCCCCGGCUAACUAUGUGCCAGCAGCCGCGGU
rnacentral:rRNA from 1 species